rnacentral:lncRNA from 1 species
UGGAGUAGCUUGAAAGUUUCUGGGCAUGACACGGGACUCAACUUCCAUCACCAUAGCAGUACGUGAAAUAAAAAAUGCGAGUAAAUGAGUAAAAUUUUACUGAAGGAAAGCAUUGGGGGAGAGAAAUUUCCUUACAGUGGAAUGAAUGUGGAAAAAUGUCCUUAAAAAAAUAGAAAGAAGAACAUUUCCAGAGAUGGAGAUAGCGUGUGUGGCAAGAACUAAGCUUUAUCAUCGUGGCUUCCACAUCCGUGAAGUCCUGGACCCCUAGCAAGUGUCCAGAUGCCGAUUUACCCACUGGAGGAGAGACUCACUCAUGGAUACGUGGCCCUUCAUCAGUGCUGGUACCAUGUUCAUUUUUCAUGCCAUAUAGUUGCUGUGGAACAACACCAGGAAAUAAUACAGUAUUCUCCUGAAGCCAAGAUCACCAGGAUGAUCAUGAGGGAUUUUUAAGCAUUCUUGCAACACAAAGCUACUGCAAACCCAGCUUACCUGGCAGGUGACGUCCUUUCUUACAGGUGCUUUUUAUCUCUGAGCUGAGCAAAGUACUUGAAAUAUGCUUUCAUCUGAUCUGGAGGUAGGUUGAGCUGAGAAGGAACUGGCUUGCCAGUCGGAGAUAGAAAGGAGAUAUAGGAACCUUGCAUCAGACCUUGAACAGUAAGAUGACUGAUUAAGCCUGGGAGAAGUACUAAUCAAGGUUCACCCAGAAAGUGCCCAUGGUUUCCUGUGAAUGAAGCUUUGUCACAGGUGUGAAUGAAGUUUUGUCACAGAGCCAUCGGAGCUGGCCUAGUGCUGGGCUUGGGAGCUCUUGGCACAGAUCCAUGGCUAUCCUUCCUCCAGCACCUACCUGGGUCCUGGGGGUGUACAGCUGUGUUCGUAUGGAGCUCAGCAUGAGCUGAAUUCCCCGGGAGCUUACUUGGGGGUCCCUGCCCCUGCAGUAGUGGGCAGGAGAAACCAGACACUUUUGGGUAAUUCUUCAUCAGUUCCCCAUAAGUCAGUGUGGGUCCAUGCAGUGGGACUUAUGUUACUUGAAUUUUUCCAUUAUCGGGGCUAAGCCAGCCCUCAUAAGCUGGAUAAUGAAAACUGGCCUCAUGUUGAAGAUGAGUAACAGAGCAUAGCUUUCUGUGGCAGCAGAAGUCAGUUUAAGUGAUCGCUUCUCUCCUUACACAUUUAUUGCCCUAUU